AUUGAACGCUGGCGGCAGGCCUAACACAUGCAAGUCGAGCGGAGCGGCGGACGGGUGAGUAAUGCCUAGGAAUCUGCCUGGUAGUGGGGGCUAACGUCCGGAAACGGGCGCUAAUACCGCAUACUAUCAGAUGAGCCUAGGUCGGAUUAGCUAGUGGGUGGGGUAAAGGCCUACCAAGGCGACGAUCCGUAACUGGUCUGAGAGGAUGAUCAGUCACACUGGAACUGAGACACGGUCCAGAUGCCUACGGGAGGCAGAGGUGGGGAAUAUUGGAAAAUGGGCGAAAGCCUGAUCCGGCCAUGCCGCGUGUGUGAAGAAGGUCUUCGGAUUGUAAAGCACUUUAAGUUGGGAGGCGUUACCAACAGAAUAAGCACCGGCUAACUCCGUGCCAGCAGCCGCGGUAAUUC
rnacentral:rRNA from 1 species